rnacentral:rRNA from 1 species
GACGAACGCUGGCGGCGUGCUUAACACAUGCAAGUCGAACGGAAAGGCCCUGCUUUUGUGGGGUGCUCGAGUGGCGAACGGGUGAGUAACACGUGAGUAACCUGCCCUUGACUUUGGGAUAACUUCAGGAAACUGGGGCUAAUACCGGAUAGGAGCUCCUGCUGCAUGGUGGGGGUUGGAAAGUUUCGGCGGUUGGGGAUGGACUCGCGGCUUAUCAGCUUGUUGGGGGGGUAGUGGCGUACCAAGGCUUUGACGGGUAGCCGGCCUGAGAGGGUUACCGGCCACAUUGGUACUGAGAUACGGCCCAGACUCGUACGGGAGGCAGCAGGGGGGAAUAUUGCAGAAUGGGCGGAAGCCUGAUGCAGCAACGCCGCGUGCGGGAUGACGGCCUUCGGGUUGAAAACCGCUUUCGCCUGUGACGAAGCGUGAGUGACGGUAAUGGGUAAAGAAGCACCGGCUAACUACGUG